UACGUAGGGUGCAAGCGUUGUCCGGAAUUAUUGGGCGUAAAGAGCUCGUAGGCGGUUUGUCGCGUCUGCUGUGAAAACUCGGGGCUUAACUCCGGGCCUGCAGUGGGUACGGGCAGACUAGAGUGCGGUAGGGGAGACUGGAAUUCCUGGUGUAGCGGUGAAAUGCGCAGAUAUCUGCAGGAACACCCGUGGCGAAAGCGGCGCGCUGGACCACUACUGACGCUGAGGAACGAAAGCUAGGGGAGCAAACAGG
rnacentral:rRNA from 1 species